AUGAACGCUGGCGGCGUGCCUAAUACCUGCAAGUCGCGCGCACAGACGAGGAGCUUGCUCCUCUGACGUUAGCGGCGGACGGGUGAGUAACACGUGGAUAACCUACCUAUAAGACUGGGAUAACUUCGGGAAACCGGAGCUAAUACCGGAUAAUAUAUUGCACCGCAUGGUUCCAUAGUGAAAGACGGUUUUGCUGGCACUUAUAGAUGGAUCCGCGCCGCAUUAGCUAGUUGGUAAGGUAACGGCUUACCAAGGCGACGAUGCGUAGCCGACCUGAGAGGGUGAUCGGCCACACUGGAACUGAGACACGGUCCAGACUCCUACGGGAGGCAGCAGUAGGGAAUCUUCCGCAAUGGGCGAAAGCCUGACGGAGCAACGCCGCGUGAGUGAUGAAGGUCUUCGGAUCGUAAAACUCUGUUAUUAGGGAAGAACAAAUGUGUAAGUAACUAUGCACGUCUUGACGGUACCUAAUCAGAAAGCCACGGCUAACUACGUG
rnacentral:rRNA from 1 species